rnacentral:rRNA from 1 species
GAUGAACGCUGGCGGCGUGCCUAAUACAUGCAAGUCGAGCGAACAGACGAGGAGCUUGCUCCUCUGACGUUAGCGGCGGACGGGUGAGUAACACGUGGAUAACCUACCUAUAAGACUGGGAUAACUUCGGGAAACCGGAGCUAAUACCGGAUAACAUGUUGAACCGCAUGGUUCAACAGUGAAAGACGGUCUUGCUGUCACUUAUAGAUGGAUCCGCGCCGCAUUAGCUAGUUGGUAAGGUAACGGCUUACCAAGGCAACGAUGCGUAGCCGACCUGAGAGGGUGAUCGGCCACACUGGAACUGAGACACGGUCCAGACUCCUACGGGAGGCAGCAGUAGGGAAUCUUCCGCAAUGGGCGAAAGCCUGACGGAGAAACGCCGCGUGAGUGAAGAAGGUCUUCGGAUCGUAAAACUCUGUUAUUAGGGAAGAACAAAUGUGUAAGUAACUAUGCACGUCUUGACGGUACCUAAUCAGAAAGCCACGGCUAACUACGUG